rnacentral:rRNA from 1 species
UACGUAGGGGGCAAGCGUUGUCCGGAUUUACUGGGCGUAAAGAGCACGUAGGCGGACGUUAAGUGUGGCCUGAAAGCCCCCGGCUCAACCGGGGGAUCCGGGUUGCAAACUGGACGUCUUGAGGGGGAUAGGGGAAGGUAGAAUUCCUGGUGUAGCGGUGAAAUGCGUAGAGAUCAGGAGGAAUACCCGUGGCGAAGGCGGCCUUCUGGGGUCCGCCCCUGACGCUGAGGCGCGAAAAGCGGUGGGGGAGCGAACGGGG